rnacentral:rRNA from 1 species
UACGGAGGAUCCAAGCGUUGUCCGGAUUUAUUGGGUUUAAAGGGUGCGUAGGCGGAUCUUUAAGUCAGUGGUGAAAGCCUGCAGCUCAACUGUAGAACAGCCAUUGAAACUGAAGAUCUUGAAUAUGGUUAAAGUAGGCGGAAUGUAUCAUGUAGCGGUGAAAUGCUUAGAUAUGAUACAGAACACCGAUUGCGAAGGCAGCUCACUAAACUGUAACUGACGCUGAGGCACGAAAGCGUGGGGAGCAAACAGG